rnacentral:rRNA from 1 species
CACGGGGGGAGCAAGCGUUGUUCGGAAUCACUGGGCGUAAAGGGCGUGUAGGCGGUCAGGUAAGUGGGACGUGAAAUCCCUCGGCUCACCCGAGGACCUGCGUCCCAUACUGCUUGGCUUGAGUAUGGGAGAGGAUGAGGGAAUUCCUGGUGUAGCGGUGAAAUGCGCAGAUAUCAGGAGGAACACCAAUUGCGAAGGCAGCUCGCUGGGACGUUACUGACGCUGAGACGCGAAAGCGUGGGGAGCAAACAGG